rnacentral:rRNA from 1 species
UGCGAAACUCGAAUGAACGAACGGGGAGAUUCAUCGUUAUUCCGCGGCGUGGUGUCGCACUCUCGAUGUCGUGCGGCCUCGGCCGUACGGCACGGGGUGUGGCGUUCGACGUUCGCGGACGGCGUGCACUUCUCCCUUAGUAAUGCAUCGCGACCCGUUCGAUGUCGGUCUAUGCGCCGUUCGGGAGUCGCACCUGUCCCUUCGGGGCGCAGGGGCGACCGGAUCGGUCCGCCGACCGGCUGUCGGACGGUAUUUCAACGGAUCGCGUACGCGUUUAUGCGCGUCCGGCCCGACGCAAGGCUACGUCGUUCAUCUCCGUCCUGCCCGAGCGCGGGCGGGGGUGCGGCGCGCCUGUUGUCGCAGCCGUGCUGUCUCGGACUGUACGCGUCCCGUGUCUGC